AGAGAGAAGGUGAUAAGACAGUGCUGUGAGGGAGAAAUAAGUGGGUGUUGCCAAUAUAAUAUUAGAGCGAAGUUAGUGGAUAGUGGUGUGUUUUGUCGAAAUUCUAAAAGUAAGUUAUAUACCAGUGUUUGUCCUAAUUGUAAAAGUGAUUUAUAUCAAUAAUUUUUUUUUUAAAUUUUGGUGUUUAAAAUCAACAAGAUGAACCCUAAGCACCAAAUCUCGACCCCAAAUCCGAACGUGAAGUUGCGGCUAUCUGAAGAAGUGGAGGUUGUUCAUCUUCUCCGUUGGCACAUUAUUUAAGAAGGUAUAUGCGUAGACUCUAAGAAUGUUGUUAAUGAAUAAAAACUGAAAAUUUAUUGAUUUUGUAAAGUGUACAAAAUUUGUUUUUGGGUAUUAGCAAUGUUAAUCAUAGUUUGCUUUUAUGUUUGAAAAGGCCCUGAAAUGUAGAAUCCUUGUGCAAAUGUGUUUAACAGAAGAUUAACCUCUAGUUUUUUCUUUGAGAAUUCUAAUUUUGACUACUAUGUUCCAAUCCAGAACCUUGCAACUCUACUUACACUGUAUUAACUCUUGAUUUAGUGUUUUACAGUUUUUUUGUGGCUGACAUAGUAGUAGUUUUCAAUGACAGGAAAGAACAAGGGCUUUUGUCAUAAUUGUAGAAAGUUCAAGCACCAUUGUCAGAAUACCCAACAAAGAAAUGAGGCUCAAGAUGGGCCGAGAGCUUUGUGAAAUUGAUGGGAGGUUGAAAAGAAGACUCCAAACAUAUGGCGGUGAUUCUUCUGUUGUAGUAGCAAUUGUGGGUAUUUCAAGUGGAGUGAUGUCUCAUCUGGCGUUGAAAAAUGCUUGCAAUUUGAAGGUUAGUCUAGUGGUGUUUACAAAGAACGUGAAUCAAAAUGUGUUUAUUUAGGUAAAUCUAUGCCUAAAGAUCCAAUUGAAGAUUUGUCUUGAAUAUUCAAAAAAUUUGAUCAAAUAUCCAAACAAGAGGACAUGUAGAUAUCUCUCAAAAUAAAUAUUUACAAGGAAAAAAGAGAUAGGAAAAGAAUGGGAAACAAAAGGGAAAAUAUCUGUGAAGUGGUCAUGGUUUGUCGAUAUUUAUGUAGUUAGCGCUAGAGUUUAAGUUGAAGGGGUCAUGGUUUGUCAUUGUAAAUUAAAUUUGCACUACAUUUUGACUUGGUAAUUACACAAAUGUGUGCUCAUACCAUGUAGCAUAAAACUAGAUAAUUGUAACAAGAGUUUGUUAUUGUUGAUAUGGGAAAAAAGAUUGUAAACAAUGGAGUGCUUACUAAG
rnacentral:lncRNA from 1 species